GUGGCCUGCGCCAUAUUUCGUCAUGGACGCACUGCCCAGUGAGAAAGACGUGGACGCGUGUAUUUAGGUCACCUUCCUCAUCUCCGUCCGCCGGCCCAAAAAUCCACCUUCUCCUCUGUUCUCCUUCUCUCCCAAGCCGCCCCCAUGCCGAUUCAGCCCCAACCUGCAGCCUCCUUCUCUCUCAAGCCGCCCCAUGCCGAUUCAGCCCCAACCUGCAGCAAGCAAGGAGCACGGCGGAACUAGAUCGGCCCCAACAGGGCGAGAUCCCCGUGCACCAGAUCUAUCAUCCCCAUCAUUGGAGCAGCCAUGGCCUCCCUGAAUCCUUUUGUCCAUCCAAAGGAUCUGCGCCGACGAGCACAGGGCGAGGUCCUGGUGCACCGGAUCCAACGCCCCCCACUAUAGGAGGAGCCGUGGCAUCCCGUUCGCCAUGCGUUCUGCCCUUCUCCAACAAUGGAUCUGCACCGACGACCCCAUACUGCCCAAGGUCCAUUCUUCCACCAUGCAUCGGCCACUGUCAAGAUCUUGGCGCAUGACAGAGUUACCGUGUGGUGUGGCCGGGGCUUCUUCCACUAUGACCCCUCCUGCCCUAUCUCUUCGGUGGCCCUGAUUCUUCUUCCACACUGGGAUAGCUCGUGGAUAUGGUACAUCAUCAUCACCGAUGAAGAGGAGAAGGGGUUUAUCGUGUCAAGAAAGGUGUGUGGUGGCAGGCUUGGUCUCCGGCCUCGGCAUCUUCCGUUGGCCCCGGUGCCGUGUGGCUGAGGCGAUGUUGUUUGGCAUUAGCUACAAAAUAGCCAUGAUGUUCCUCUUUAAGCCCUGGAUGGGAAAUCUGUUGCAAGUGCUCAAGGGGUGUUAAGAGCAUAUGCUUCCCAAGGCCAACAUUGUGAUGCAUGUGUUGUUAGUUUAGAAGUGUUUUGGUAUAGCAACACGAGCUGACAUGUAGUUUGGUCUGUAGUUCAUUGUAUAUGCAAGUUGAAUUGUCCUGACCAUUUUAUGAAACUUAAUUUAGCUUUUUAUUGGAUUGCAGGGUGGUAUGAAUAUGUUGUAUGAUGAAUAAUUUUGAAUUAUGGUUGGUAUAAAUCCAAAUUUGGCA